UGGGGAAUAUUGGACAAUGGGGGCAACCCUGAUCCAGCAAUGCCGCGUGUGUGAAGAAGGUCUUCGGAUUGUAAAGCACUUUCGACGGGGACGAUGAUGACGGUACCCGUAGAAGAAGCCCCGGCUAACUUCGUGCCAGCAGCCGCGGUAAUACGAAGGGGGCUAGCGUUGCUCGGAAUGACUGGGCGUAAAGGGCGUGUAGGCGGUUUACACAGUCAGAUGUGAAAUCCCCGGGCUUAACCUGGGAGCUGCAUUUGAUACGUGUAGACUAGAGUGUGAGAGAGGGUUGUGGAAUUCCCAGUGUAGAGGUGAAAUUCGUAGAUAUUGGGAAGAACACCGGUGGCGAAGGCGGCAACCUGGCUCAUGACUGACGCUGAGGCGCGAAAGCGUGGGGAGCAAACAGGAUUAGAUACCCUGGUAGUCCACGCUGUAAACGAUGUGUGCUAGAUGUUGGGUAA
rnacentral:rRNA from 1 species